CCACAGCAACAAUCCCGAACCACGUGCAGUCAGCAGUGUUAAACCGUCUGCUCAACGCACUGCAGUCACUAUACAGCUUCAUGAUGAUGUCGACAUUGAGUGCCCCAUACACAAGUAUUCAGUUACUGACAACUUAUGGAGUGACCUGUACAAACGAGAGGAUUCCGAUGACUUUCUGGAGACACUUGACAUGCUGAUGGGUGUAUAUAAAGUUACAUAUCAAGGAGCUGACCUGGUUCAAAACCC